UGAACGGUGGCGGCGUGCCUAAUACAUGCAAGUCGAACGAGGAACCUGUAUUCGUACGGGAUUUCCUAGUGGCGAACGGGUGAGUAACGCGUUGGUAACCUGCCCCGAAGGGGGGGAUAACAUCUCGAAAGAGAUGCUAAUACCCCAUAGUGUCACAAGGGUUAGAUACCUUGUGUCUAAAGGAGUAAUCCGAUUCGGGAGGGGCCUGCGUCCCAUCAGCUAGUUGGUAGGGUAAUGGCCUACCAAGGCGACGACGGGUAGGGGAUCUGAGAGGGUGGUCCCCCACAAUGGAACUGAAACACGGUCCAUACACCUACGGGUGGCAGCAGUAGGGAAUAUUGCCCAAUGGACGAAAGUCUGAGGCAGCAACGCCGCGUGUGCGAUGAAGGCCUUCGGGUUGUAAAGCACUUUUGUGAGGGAAGAGAAAAGACGGUACCUCACGAAUAAGGAUCGGCCAACUAC
rnacentral:rRNA from 1 species